rnacentral:rRNA from 1 species
GAUCAUGGCUCAGGAUGAACGCUAGCGGCAGGCUUAACACAUGCAAGUCGAGGGGCAGCGAGAGAGUAGCAAUACUUUUGUCGGCGACCGGCGCACGGGUGCGUAACGCGUAUGUAACCUACCUCAAACAGGGGCAUAACACUGAGAAAUUGGUACUAAUUCCCCCAUAACACCUUGGAGGGCAUCCUUCAGGGUUGAAAGUUCCGGCGGUUAAAGAUGGACAUGCGUUGUAUUAGCUAGAUGGUGAGGUAACGGCUCACCAUGGCGACGAUACAUAGGGGGACUGAGAGGUUAACCCCCCACACUGGUACUGAGACACGGACCAGACUCCUACGGGAGGCAGCAGUGAGGAAUAUUGGUCAAUGGACGCAAGUCUGAACCAGCCAUGCCGCGUGCAGGAAGACGGCUCUAUGAGUUGUAAACUGCUUUUGUACAAGGGUAAACCUCGGUACGUGUACCGAGCUGAAAGUACUGUACGAAUAAGGAUCGGCUAACUCCGUG